rnacentral:rRNA from 1 species
UGAUAGGCCAGAACUGGAAGUGCAGUAAUGCAUGCAGGUGACUGGUACUAAUAGGCCGAGGACUUACCACAA